rnacentral:rRNA from 1 species
UACGAAGGGGGCUAGCGUUGCUCGGAAUCACUGGGCGUAAAGGGUGCGUAGGCGGGUCUUUAAGUCAGGGGUGAAAUCCUGGAGCUCAACUCCAGAACUGCCUUUGAUACUGAGGAUCUUGAGUUCGGGAGAGGUGAGUGGAACUGCGAGUGUAGAGGUGAAAUUCGUAGAUAUUCGCAAGAACACCAGUGGCGAAGGCGGCUCACUGGCCCGGUUCUGACGCUGAUGCGCGAAAGCGUGGGUAGCAAACAGG